rnacentral:rRNA from 1 species
CAGCAGCCGCGGUAAUACAGAGGGUGCGAGCGUUAAUCGGAUUUACUGGGCGUAAAGCGUGCGUAGGCGGCUUUUUAAGUCGGAUGUGAAAUCCCUGAGCUUAACUUAGGAAUUGCAUUCGAUACUGGGAAGCUAGAGUAUGGGAGAGGAUGGUAGAAUUCCAGGUGUAGCGGUGAAAUGCGUAGAGAUCUGGAGGAAUACCGGUGGCGAAGGCGGCCCCCUGGACAAAGACUGACGCUCAUGCACGAAAGCGUGGGGAGCAAACAGGAUUAGAUACCCCUGUAGUCCCUGUCUCUUAUAA